rnacentral:lncRNA from 1 species
AUCCCCCUGUAAAAGUAGAUGAUUUUAGUCUCUUGUACCUCUUUAUAUAGCCCGGGUCAAUCGUGGGAGGAACUGGGUCCCAUGGAAAAGGGACUGGGCUAGGAUGAGGAUAGACUGGGGGGCCCUGUGGUGGUACUUACUGAUACGGUAGGGGCACCGGAUUGUAUUGUGGCAGUGCCGAGCAGUACUGUGGCUGGGGCACCGGAUCAUAAUGCGGUGGUGCCGGGUGGUACUGUGGAGGAGCAGGGUCGUAUCGGGGUGGCUCGGGAUCCUCCGCUGGAAU